CCUACGGGAGGCAGCAGUAAGGAAUAUUGGACAAUGCUCGCAAGAGUGAUCCAGCCAUGCCGCGUGCAGGAAGAAUGCCCUAUGGGUAGUAAACUGCUUUUGAACUAGAGAAAAUCCCAGUACGUGUACUGGGCUGAUAGUAUAGUUAGAAUAAGCAUCGGCUAACUUCGUGCCAGCAGCCGCGGUAAGACGAAGGAUGCAAGCGUUAUCCGGAUUCAUUGGGUUUAAAGGGAGCGUAGGUGGACUGAUAAGUCAGUGGUGAAAUCUCCGAGCUUAACUCGGAAAUUGCCAUUGAUACUGUUGGUCUUGAGUACAGUUGCUGUGGGCGGAAUAUGACAUGUAGUGGUGAAAUACAUAGAGAUGUCAUAGAACACCGAUUGCGAAGGCAGCUCACAAAGCUGUAACUGACACUGAGGCUCGAAAGUGCGGGGAUCAAACAGGAUUAGAUACCCUGGUAGUCCGCACCGUAAACGAUGAUUACUCGCUGCUAGGGGGCAACCUUUAGUGGCUUAGAGAAGACGAGAAGUAAUACACCGNGGAGGUACGCCGGCGACGGAGAACGUAAAGUAAAGUUAGAGCGNGAGGAGNGCGACGGACGACGACGAGGGAGGAGG
rnacentral:rRNA from 1 species